GUGCUCCCUUCAGCAGCACAUAUACUAAAAUUAUAACGAUACAGAAAAGAUUAUCAUGGCCCCUGCCCAAGGAUGACAGGCAAAUUUGUGAAGUGUUCCAUAUUUUU
ensembl:snRNA LOC120102572 U6 spliceosomal RNA